CCCAGAAAUAACCGAACAUGAGAGGUCCAAGCCACAAACCGGUUGUUGGGUAUAUAUUAAGAAACGAGGGGACAGGGAUCUGGAAUAAGUUCUGGAACUGCUUUUAAGUCUUGUCAGAUCCAUCAGAUCCAGAUCCAGUAAUGGCGGGUGCAGUAGCUAGAAUUUUGAAGAGGGUGGGUCUCCCUCCAUUGGGUGUUCUGGAUGUAAUCUCGAUAGGUUCAUUACCGGUCCUAGCCUAUAUAUACUUCCGGCUGGAAAAACAAUUUGCUUGGCUUGAUGAGCAAGAGAAACGUGUGAAUGCAACGGUUGCUGACAUGAGGGCUAGAGGAAUAAUCAGAGAUCGUUGAUGAUGAUGAUUUAUCAAGCAUGUGGUUUCUUUUUUUUUCUUUCUAUAUUAUAUAUGUUAGUUUUCCAUCUAUAAUAUUCCUAUUAAAUAAAAUAAGUCUUUUCUCUGCAUAAA